CUGCUUAUAAGAACUUGUGUUUGGACAAAAUGCAGCUCGAGCAGAGUGUUCUGAUAUGUUUUUUUACCCUUCUUAAAAUCCAUGGCAACA